AUUCCAGCUUCAGUAGCGUAUAUUAAAGUUGUUGCAGUUAAAAAGCUCGUAGUCGCAUUUCUGGCGAGAGGAAUUGGUCCGACAUUUAUUGUGGGUACUCGAUUCUCUCUCGCCAUCCUUGAGUGGUCCGUUCUGGCAUUUAGUUGUCGGAGCGUCAGCCGCUCAUCGUUUACUGUGAGAAAAUUAGAGUGUUCAAAGCAGGCUUAUGCCGUUGAAUAUAUUAGCAUGGAAUAAUAAGAUAGGACCUCGGUGCUAUUUUGUUGGUUUGCGCACAGAGGUAAUGAUGAACAGGGACAGUUGGGGGUAUUUGUAUCUCGUUGUCAGAGGUGAAAUUCUUAGAUUUACGAAAGACAAACUACUGCGAAAGCAUUUACCAAGAUGUUUUCAUCG
rnacentral:rRNA from 1 species